UACGUAGGGACCGAGCGUUGUCCGGAUUCAUUGGGCGUAAAGAGCUCGUAGGCGGCCACUCAAGUCGAAUGUGAAACCUCGAGGCUUAACCUCGAGCCUGCAUUCGAUACUGGGCGGCUAGAGUCUGGUAGGGGGAUCUGGAAUUCCUGGUGUAGCGGUGGAAUGCGCAGAUAUCAGGAGGAACACCGGUGGCGAAGGCAGGUCUCUGGGCAUUAACUGACGCUGAGGAGCGAAAGCAUGGGGAGCGAACAGG
rnacentral:rRNA from 1 species